UUAUUUCCCCGCACCCCUUCCUUUCCACACUUUUUUCGUCAAGUUUUUAAUCAUUAUUUUAUUUUGAAAUUAUUAUUUUGCAUUAUUCCUCGUAUAUCUAACAAAAUUUUCAACCACCUUUUUUGUUUCAUUGUUAAUCGUAAUUAAAAUAAUACUGCUACCUUAAACAUAUUUUGUGCCGUAUGAUACUGCAUUUCAUAAUGAUCAACCGUUGCCAUUAAGGAAACGAAAGAAAGAAAGAAAGAAGAAAAAAAAAAAAGGAAAAAGAAACCCAUCGAUGAGAGUACAAUCGUCGUUGGUAGAAGAAGAUUCACAAUGAUACGAGGAAUUUACAAACAAUUGCAUUGAGAAUUUAAACGGGAUUACUUUUUUUUAUUGAAAUCAAAUCAAGACCAGUUAAUAGGAAGUUCCAUAGUAUGGAAUUUGCCCUUGGGCAUAUCUUUCUCUACGUAUAGAUGAAAUCACAACCGUAGAUAGACAAACGGAAAUAAGAAAGUUCCUUAUCCCCACGAAGAUUUACGAGUCAACUUUUUUUUGAGGUGAUUUUUAUGAUCACUUAGAACUGACGAUCUUUCGGUCAAGCCGUCUGCUGUUGCUUCCUGCCAGGUCAAAGACCUAACAGCCCUUAGAAGGCCGUCUUCAGACUUUCGGUGAAAGUACAUACAUAUAUUUCGUCCUUGAACUGGAAGCCUUCGAACGAUCGACGCAGUGAAAUAUUUCAUGGUGUAUCAUAUAAUCUUCGAAAGGAGAAACAUGGUAUAAUUACGAAGAUACAUUUCCCUUUUUACAAAAAUAAGCUCUAAUGGAAAUGUUCCAUGAACGAAGAAGUCAUAUCUUUUCGAACAUUCAUAUAAAUAUCUCUGAUCUUUUCUUUUUUUUUUUUUUGUUUUUUCCAUUUUUAUGACAAAUGAAAUAAUUCUUAUUGAAUUGAUUUGAUAAAUUUUCUCGCGUCACAUUUUCUCACUUUUUUCCUCUUACAACACAUUUUAUAACAGAUUAUUAUCUAAUAGACGAUAGAUCGAAAGUUCUUAAGUGAUUUUAAAAAUCAAUUAUUCUUUUUGCUUUAAUUUAUUGUUGAAUUUAUUGUUUUAAUUUUUUCUUUUUUUUUUUUUCUUUCCUUUUUUUUUGUGUGUUCUCCGUUUCUUCUUUAAAUAGCAAAAUUAAGAGAUCUAAGAAAACUUUUGGCGCGAGCUGUAUUUUCGUUCUUUGACAUUUUUCAAACUAAAAUCAUAUCUCUUCAAUAAGAAUAAGAUAUAAUUAUCAGAAGUAUAAAUAGCGAAAUUCUCUGUUGUAUAUCCUCUUUUAUCUAUAAAGAGAAAAUAUGACAUGUCAUUGAAAUAAGACGUAAUCUGUUUUAUACUAUUGAUAAAUUCUAAACGUUUCUUUUUUUUGUUUUUUUUUUUUUUUGGCUUUUCGAUACUCUUUUUAUUUAAUUUUCACCAAACUCGAUAUAAGAUUUUUCUUAUAGAGUCAUAAAUAAUAAUCGUAAGAAGUGUGCGCGCAUAUUUUAAAACGCGUCUUCGACGUCAGAAUGCGUUCGAGUGAAUAGCUGUAUCGAAUGGCGUGCGUCACUAAAGUUUCUUUUUCUCUUUCUCUCCCUCUCCUUUCUCUCUCUGUCUCUCUCUCUCUCUCUCUCUCUCUCUCUCUCUUUCUCUCUUGACUUUUUCGUUUAGGUUAAAGAAAAGACCGGUUUGAAGGGGGUCUACCUUUUUCGUAUGACUGGUUUGUUUAUCCGUGAGCUCGCAACCUCGGAUUCUUUCUAAGAAAAUUGCACGUCAACCGAUUAAAGUGUUAUCGAUCCAUGUAAAAAAAAAAAAAAAAAAGGUCUAAGUAUAUAUAUAUAUGAAAUUGUUAUCGUUAUAUAGAUACAUAUGAAAUAAUGAAGAUAAAAAUC